rnacentral:tRNA from 1 species
GCGGGCGUAGCUCAAUGGUAGAGCGGUGGCCUUCCAAGCCAUCGAUGAGGGUUCGAUUCCCUUCGCCCGCU